GAUGAAGAACGUAGUGAAAUGCGAUAAGUAAUGUGAAUUGCAGAAUUCAGUGAAUCAUCGAAUCUUUGAACGCACAUUGCGCCCGCUAGUAUUCUGGCGGGCAUGCCUGUCCGAGCGUCAUUUCAACCCUCAAGCCCCCGGGCUUGGUGUUGGGGAUCGGCGAGCCUCCGCGCCCGCCGUCCCCUAAAUCUAGUGGCGGUCUCGCUGUAGCUUCCUCUGCGUAGUAGCACACCUCGCACUGGGAAACAGCGCGGCCACGCCGUUAAACCCCCAACUUUACCAAGGUUGACCUCGGAUCAGGUAGGAAUACCCGCUGAACUUAAGCAUAUCAAUAAGCGGAGGA
rnacentral:misc_RNA from 1 species